CUGAAAAAUCUUCAGUUACUGAAGAAAAUGAGAUACAAGCAGAAGAUGAGGCUGAGGCCAAGGCUGAGGCUACUGAAGAACAGAAAGAAGAUAAAGAACAGCCAGCAACAGAAGAAGUAAAAG